ACAUCCAGUAAAUUCUCAUAAAUCUGCAUCAGAACAGUGAAGGAACACCCUGAAAAAGGGGGCAGGAUCCCUGAGCUGCAGUAAAGGGUAUUAUACAUUGGACUGUAAAAUGCUGGACAUUCUCAACACCUCUAGGCAUGAGCAAAAGACAACACAGAGUAUGAUGAAGGGGUAGUGUAACUUAACCUUUGGAGCAGGGAGCAGAGACACGGUGUAUGGGUGUGUACAUCUCCAUCACCAGUGACUUCCAGGGCAGCAGCAGGACAGGGGGGAGACCUGACUGGGAGCUACGAGAAACCAGUGGCUAAAGGACACUGGGGCUGUACUCGCUGGUGGCUGGCAUCGCCACUUCAAACAGAAUUCCACAGCUUUUGGAGCCUGGAGCCGCUCUCUAGUCUGACAGCUGAGGGGAGCAGAGGCAUCACCCACGACCGGGCAGCACAGCCCCCUCAGGCGGGCUCAGGUUUACAUGCGCUCACAACAGCAAAAUUUUGAACAAAAACAGUAUGAAAGAAACGGGAGAGAAAAUUCUGAAGGAAGCAGGCCAUGAGCAGCACACCUCAGUGAUCCUGGGGGGACAGGCUGGAUGGAUCAUUCCCACGGAAAAGGCAGCAGUCGAUUUUCUAAAGAAAAGGAAAAAUAAAGUUAUGUUUGAGCUUUCUGUGUAA